ACCCUCUCAGGGUCACACCUGGAGAGUUUCCCGGACUCUACCGGUCUUGACUAUGGGAGGGAGAGUCAAGCAGAGGACUAACCAUUCCAUUCCUAGCUUGGCCAGUGGUUAGAGAGUGGAAGGCAAUCUGCUGCAAGG
rfam:Ornithorhynchus anatinus chromosome 4, whole genome shotgun sequence.